rnacentral:tRNA from 2 species
GCUUGUUUAGCUCAAUGGUAGAGCAGCAGUUUUGUAAACUGAAGGUUGGGGGUUCAAAUCCCUCAAUAAGCA